UACGGAGGGUGCGAGCGUUACUCGGAAUUACUGGGCGUAAAGCGCAUGUAGGCGGUUUUGUAAGUCUGGUGUGAAAUCCCGGGGCUCAACCCCGGAAGUGCAUUGGAUACUGCAAGACUAGAGUUCAGGAGAGGAUGGCGGAAUUCCUGGUGUAGAGGUGAAAUUCGUAGAUAUCAGGAGGAACAUCAGAGGCGAAGGCGGCCAUCUGGACUGACACUGACGCUGAGAUGCGAAAGCGUGGGGAGCAAACAGG
rnacentral:rRNA from 1 species